UGAAAAACAAGAUUCCCUUGAACUUGUGCGAUUCGCAUUAAAAUUAAAAUGCGCGCUGCUGUUCGUCGUUCUUUAAAGACAUGGCAUGGACAGCGUGCAAAUAAUGUGUUAAAAUCACGAAAAAAAAACAUCCGCAAAAUUUUCUUGUCGCGAAAUUUUACUCGUAGAGGUAUUUCGAUGUUUUUAAAGGAAACAUUAAAUAAGCUUAUAUACCUACAUGCUUAGAAGGAAAUGUGAAUCUGAAUCUUAUUACCGUGCUUUUGUUUGAAAUAUGACUUGAUUUAUUCUACAGAAAAUGUUACACAUUCUGGUGACGAAUUAUGGAACGAACACGUGCGCAAAAAGCGUUAUGCCAUCUUUCCCGAAGGAAGUACAUUUACAGUGGCCCUUUGUGUCACUGUGAAAUUACUUACUCCUGAUUCCGAUAUAUUUACCGAAGCUAUUAACUGGUCAUUGACGUACGACUUACCGGAAAAUGUACAAGAUUAUGAUAAGAAUUUAUACGGAUAUUCACCUCCCGUGUUAAUGAGAAAGAAACGUUCUGCUUUGUACAAAAAAUUGGAAGUUUUUAUCAAUAAUUAAAUACGGAUACAAUGGUCGAGCUUGUAUAUUAAGAUCACUUUGCGAAGUUACGCAGUUGUUACCUGAAAAUGACAGUUUCCUAGAAGCUAUCAUUAAAUUACUUUUCAAAAUGCCUCUACAAAAAGUAACUCAAUUUGAACCGGAUGAACAUUUCGAAUACGAUUCUGCAUAUAGAACAGGCUUUAAUCGAAAUAAUCAAUGUCACAAAUUAUUUUCUUCUUGUUCCAUUUCCAUCCUAAAAAUUUUAUUUGAUUUACAACCAAGCCGAGAGGGAUAAUUUUUUAUUUUUCACUAUUAAGUAUAAUAAUAAAAAAUGAGUGGAAAAUACAAACAAGGUAUAGGUACCUAAGUACUUACUUGAAUAAUUAGGCGUCUACAUUAACAUGACAUGUGGAUUUCUACUUACUUUGACAAUAUUAUGUAAUGCGAUAUUAUUACUUUAAUUACCUUAUGCAUUACCUACUUCUACCUACUACCUAGUACAUAUACACAUUUUGCUGUUGUUACUGUUAUUACCUACAUGUAUGAAUAAGUCUGAUUUUUUCUCUCUUUAAAAUCACGUAGUUUGUAGUUGUACUAUCUAGGUAGGUACCUAAUAAGUAUAAUAUCGCCACCUAUCUAUAGUGCAUAUCUAGGUACCUACGUAUGUAGAUGUAUACCUAUGAAGACGUACAUAUGAUUUAAUACGGUUAAAAAGUCUCAAAAUAAUCAACUGACGUUAACAGCAUAUAAAAAUACCUAAUUUAAUUUGUUCCAAAAUGAAUUUUCUUUUACAUGUUGAAACUACAUACAUAAUAUUAAACAGAUGUGCAUACACUAUCAACGUUGAAAUAAAGGAAUAAUAUACCUAUUUCUCUUCAUUCACCUAUCACAGGUGCGCGACGUUAGAAUUUUUUAAAAUAAAAUUGUUCAAAAGUAUUGAAUAUAUUAAAUAAAUACGAUAAAAAAAAAACUGGUUUUAUCAU